GCCCCCCAUUUCUCCUUUACUGUUCCUUUCUCCUCUAUUUCUUUACUCUCUCGUCUCUCUCAUCCCCUCUGCUAGUUUGCGCACUGACGCCGUCCUUCGCCGGUCGAAAAUCUCCACCACUGGUCGGCCGUUAUCCAAACUCCACAAACAACCUUACACCAGUCUUCUUCUCUUUCUCACAUCUACCUCAAUCCACGUCUCAAAUCCUCAGAAUCUCCAUCAAUCUUUACCAAUUUGGCCUUGACUGAAACUCUAGCCGCCCAAAAUUUUCUUUUUUUUCUUUCUCAAAUUCGUGACAAACCAGUCAUCCCCAACACAAAAAUCUCACAUAAACAUGUAGAUAUACUUGAGAUCCAUACUUCUCUUUUAAUUUCAUCCAUAAAUCUGAUCUCUGCUACUGCCAACUAGCAACCUCCACCUCCAUGACCUUUAACCAUCAGAAACUCACUCGGCCUUCUAUUUUAAGUUGUGUACGAUCUCGGACACCCUUUUUCUUUUGGUAUGGCGCACAAAUUAAUUUCCGAUGUGCAGAAUUUGUUGAACCAACACAUGCCCUUAAGACAAAAGGUGCUCGAAGGUCAAUUGACUGGCCAUUUGGCACCCCGUUAUUGCACCGAGGAUUCGAGGUUAAAGUUCUGAGGUAGGUUCUCGAACGAAAGUGAUACCGUAAUUCCUUGUUCCCUUUUUUGCUCAUUACUAGCAGUAGAUUUACGCUUGAUUUUGUCAAUAAUCAAUGUUCGUAGCUUAGUCAGUUGAAAACGGUCAGUUUAGAUUUUAAGUUUGUUUCGGUUUUUGUAUUGCUUUGUUUUGAUCUUCAUAAUUCAUUGAUCUUACUAUUUCUUUAUGUAUUGCGAGGUUCGUGAUUCUUCGAGUCUCAGAAUCUGUUGUUAAUUCGAUCCACUUUGUUUAUCAUUUUGCUUUGUUUGUGUUUGAUUGGAAUUUCUGUCUAGGUUUAAUCCGAUUGAUUCAUCCGUUUCAUGUUUAAUCUCUUUAAUUCUGUUUUUGGGUAUUAGUUUGCUAAAUUGUCUUUACUGAUUAUACAUGUUUUUGCUUGGUUUUAAUAGUUGGUUUCUGAGUUUCUCCUUGUUGGUUAAUAGUUCAACUAGUAAAGUCUAGUUACAUGUUUGUUGUAUCUUGGUUUGGUUUGAAACAAUUAGGUCGAUAGUGAUUUGGUCUUUUGGUCUAAAGCUGGAGGGUAAUAGUUUAAUUAUGAUUUGAGAUACAUUAGUGGCUUGCUUUUAUGCUGGGGUGGCUGAAAGCAUCUUUCUUCCCAUGCUUUUACCACAUUAGGUUGAGAGGGCUGCCAUUUUCCCAUUUGGACAGUCCUUAGAUUGUUUUUGGCACAAAAAGUAAGUCCCUUUGGACACAAUUUUAGGUGAACUAAAAUAUGUCCAAAAAGAACUUUCUUCUCCUACUUAAGCAUACCAUAUUCCACACUUUAGGACACACUUUACAUAACUUUGGAGAAGAAAAAAAAAAGAAUUAGUUGAACACAUACUUUGAGAGGUAAAAAAAAUACAAUCUUGAGAGAAAAAUAUCAACUGACUAUAAAAAAGAAGCUGAAAAUUGAGAGCCUUGUAUGUAGUAUUCUGAGUGUAAACUCUUUCAAAAAAUAGGAGAGUCUUUAGAGUUGGUUCUUAGUUUCACAUGGUUAACUACUGAAAGUUUCUUGUUGUUUGACAUUGAUUUGCUAUUGUUUUUGCUGCAUGUUCUGAGCUUCAUUUUAUUCACUACAUAUUUUUAUUUUUCAGCGAACCAAGUAACUCCCUAAAUCUUUUGUAUUGCAGAUUUUUAACAAAGUUGGAAUUCUCAAGCCAUUGGGAAUGAAAAUCCCAUAUUAGACGACACUCGAGAAUUCUAGGGAUGCAAAAAAAAGAGGGCUUCAAGAACGAUCUAAUAAAUUAGUCUUUUAAAGUCAAAUUUUAAUAAGAGAUUUAAAUUUUUAAAUAGAGUUUAUAUAUGUUUAACACAAUUUGCAAAAAAUUAGUGUUUUGUUUUUUUCUUAUAUUCAUUGUUUAUAGUGUAAUAUGCUUACAAGAUAUAAAAUCUUUAAUGUUAUAUUGGCAAGCGUUAACUCUAAGUUAAUAAGAUGUUAGCCAUGUGUUUGUGAUAUAUUAUCUUGGAUCUCAU
rnacentral:lncRNA from 1 species